AUUCGUACGUUACACUGAACAGA
rnacentral:miRNA from 15 species